rnacentral:rRNA from 1 species
UCAGAUUGAACGCUGGCGGCAGGCCUAACACAUGCAAGUCGAGCGGUAGAGAGGUGCUUGCACCUCUUGAGAGCGGCGGACGGGUGAGUAAUGCCUAGGAAUCUGCCUGGUAGUGGGGGAUAACGCUCGGAAACGGACGCUAAUACCGCAUACGUCCUACGGGAGAAAGCAGGGGACCUUCGGGCCUUGCGCUAUCAGAUGAGCCUAGGUCGGAUUAGCUAGUUGGUGAGGUAAUGGCUCACCAAGGCGACGAUCCGUAACUGGUCUGAGAGGAUGAUCAGUCACACUGGAACUGAGACACGGUCCAGACUCCUACGGGAGGCAGCAGUGGGGAAUAUUGGACAAUGGGCGAAAGCCUGAUCCAGCCAUGCCGCGUGUGUGAAGAAGGUCUUCGGAUUGUAAAGCACUUUAAGUUGGGAGGAAGGGCAUUAACCUAAUACGUUAGUGUUUGACGUACCGACAG